AUUGAACGCUGGCGGCAGGCCUAACACAUGCAAGUCGAACGAGUGGCGGACGGGUGAGUUAUGUCUGGGAAACUGCCUGAUGGAGGGGGAUAACUAAUGGAAACGGUAGCUAAUACCGCAUUCAUUAGGAUGUGCCCAGCUGGGAUUAGCUAGUAGGUGGGGUACAGUCUCACCUAGGCGACGAUCCCUAGCUGGGCUGAGAGUAUGACCAGCCACACUGGAACUGAGGCACGGUCCAGACUCCUCCGGGAGGCAGCAGUGGGGAAUAUUGGACAAGGGGCGAAAGCCUGAUGCAGCCAUGCAGCGUGUAUGAAGAAGGCCUUCGGGUUGUAAAGUACUUUCAGCGGGGAGGCGUUACCCGCAGAAGAAGCACCGGCUAACUCCGUGCCAGCAGCCGCGGUAAUUC
rnacentral:rRNA from 1 species